GACGAACGCUGGCGGCGUGCCUAAUACAUGCAAGUAGAACGCACAGUUUAUACCGUAGCUUGCUACACCAUAGACUGUGAGUUGCGAACGGGUGAGUAACGCGUAGGUAACCUGCCUGGUAGCGGGGGAUAACUAUUGGAAACGAUAGCUAAUACCGCAUAAUAUUAAUUAUUGCAUGAUAAUUAAUUGAAAGGUGCAAUUGCACCACUACCAGAUGGACCUGCGUUGUAUUAGCUAGUAGGUGAGGUAACGGCUCACCUAGGCGACGAUACAUAGCCGACCUGAGAGGGUGAUCGGCCACACUGGGACUGAGACACGGCCCAGACUCCUACGGGAGGCAGCAGUAGGGAAUCUUCGGCAAUGGACGAAAGUCUGACCGAGCAACGCCGCGUGAGUGAAGAAGGUUUUCGGAUCGUAAAGCUCUGUUGUAAGAGAAGAACGGGUGUGAGAGUGGAAAGUUCACACUGUGAUGGUAUCUUACCAGAAAGGGACGGCUAACUACGUG
rnacentral:rRNA from 1 species